rnacentral:lncRNA from 1 species
AUGAGAAAGGUGACUGGGAAAUGGUUAAUAUUUACGUAUAAAUACAUAGGUCAUUUGUGUUGUGUAAGUUUAAAAGUAGAGUCUGGAGUAUUGCUUGUUACAGUUUGUAAACAAAACAUUGAAACUGGGCCCCUCCUCUCGGGCUCAACUGUGUCAGACCGACCCAGUUACACCUGCAGCGAGCAGACAGAGGAAGAGGAGUGUGAGAUCCACGGGGAAAGGAGCAGGAGAAAGAGAACGACAGCUGUCGCCAGCAGACGGGCAUUGACUGUUGGACUAAUUGAAAUGUGAGUUUAUACUCUGCCCUAGGGAUGUAAUGAGAUCAAAAUCUACAGUAUUUGCCGUCAUUUCAUACCAUACAUGUUCACAAUGAUAUUGAGACACUUUUGUUUUGUUAUCACGAUAUCGUGGUAUUACCAAUACGUUACAUCCCUACUCUGCCUCCAUUGUGCGAGUAGUGAUCCCUGGUCGUGGAAAGUUAUUGCGAAUGUGUGUAAAAGUACAGUGACUGAAGUCCUCCCCCCCCUCCCCACAUGACAAAGUAAGAGGCCAGCGCCCAAUGACGGUGUGACAGCAGUGGUGCCAAUGACGAGAGUGAUGUUGGCCCGAGGUGACGGUGAACAGUUGAUACUCUGCCCCAUCGUGUGAGCAACGAUCUUAGGACGUAAAUGAAGUGGUGUGCAUGUAUUGGGUUUAAAAGUGCAGUGACUGCCAUCUCGUUUCCCCCACAGCUCCCGAGUCUGCGCCCGGCAGAGGACAGUGUGCAAGUGGAAGAUCAGCGGUGGUCGUGGAGAAUCGGUGUUACCAAGUCACCACAAUAACGGACCCCUUCCCCCCAGACCCCAUUCUAUAAUUUCUGUGAAUAAAUAUUGUUUUAAAUGCCCUUUACGGUCUCCAAGCACUUUCUUGGUUAUCGAAACACACGUCAUAUACGUCAGCGUAGAUGAAAGCCAAGUCAGAGACAAGAGAGACAAUGAAUGAAAUCCCGCGAAAUGAUGUGCAGUCAAUAUGACCGCUUAUGGCCGAAAUAGGUAAAACAAAUCAUAUUUUCUUUUCCUUUUGUGUAAUUUAUAUAAAAACUAUUCUCAAUUAAAAU